rfam:Dokdonella koreensis DS-123, complete genome.
GCCGGGAGGGCGGCUAAUGCAAUACCCCGCAAGGGGGAAUACGCCCACCGUCUUCACGCGGUUUCGAACCUCCCGGCAUCCCGGC